rnacentral:lncRNA from 1 species
AUAGCGCUGAGGGUGAAGAAGGAAGAUCCUGCCCCUCCUAAAGCCAAAGCAAAGGCUCUGAAGGCCAAGAAGGCAGUGCAGAAAGGCAUCCACAGCCAGAAGAAGAAGGAGAAGGAAAAGAAGAACCACACACUGGUCCAAGACACUGCAACUCUGGAGGCAGCCAAAAUAUCCUUGGAAGAGUGCCCCCAGGAGAAACAAGCUUGACUACUAUGCCAUCACCAAGUUUCUGCUGACCACUGAGUCCACCAUGAAGAUAGAAGACAACAAUACACUGGUGUUCAUUGUGGAUGUUAAAGCCAACAAGCACCAGAUCAAAUAGGCUGUAAAGAAGCUCUAUGACAUUGAUGUGGCCAAGGUCAACACCCUGAUUCGGCCUGAUGGAGAGAAGAAGACGUAUGUUCCACUGGCUCCUGAGGACCAUGCUUUGGAUGGUCAACAAAAUUUGGAUCAUCUCA